GCUGUGGCAGAAUGCAUCUCGCCUGACUCCAGCCAGCUGCAGGUGUCUGAAAGAGGGUUGAAGAUGGUCAGAUGCUAAGGGCAGAGCCCCUCUUCUUCUCUCCAACCCCAAGCCCCAAGUGCCAGGGUAAGAAAGCUGAGAUUCAGAAGGGUUCUGCACAAGAGAGCCAAUUUUUGGAUGCUGCCACGCAGAGAGAGACAACAGCCAGCCAGUCUUGAAGAGCAGCAGCCAACCAACAGAGAGACGGCCACUUCCCCAUGGCCUCCCGGUCCCUGUCCACAGCCCCGCCGCAGACAGGAGCAGGGGGGUAGUGGCAGAGGACAGACCGCCUUCUGCCACCCUCCACUCAGGCCACCAGGGCCAUGGCCACGUCUAGCUUCCCUGGGAGUGGAGGCCGAGAGCUUUGAAGGAGAGCUUGACCUGGACAUUUUUAAGUACCAGCCUGUGUAAUCCUCACAGCAGCUGCGAGAAUAAGAGCUGCACCUGCCAGAGGCCACCCGGUUAGAAAGAGGUGGUGCUGGGAUCUGCAUCCACUGGCCAUCUCUGGAGACCACCAUGAGCCAGGGCCCCUGGUGAUGGCCCAGGGAAGGGGCAGGUGCGGCGCUGUGGAAGGUCGGAGGAGGGCAGAGGCAAAGAAGGCCAUGGAAACGACCGAACGUUAACCCACUGAAGACCCGCCACCCCAUUAACUGGCUAGAAUGGAGGUGUUCCUGCGGCUCCACUGAACAGAAACAGAUCCUGAGAUCCUGAGACCUUAAGGUAAGUGUCUGAACACUGUCACCAUGUACAACGUCUGUCUGUUGCUUUACUGUACAAUCAGAGCGAGAAACAAAUGCAUUCAAUGCUGUGGAGGUAGAAGACACCGUGGUUGCUACCCCAACCCCAAAUGUCUGCAUCAGGACCAGCUGAGCUCUUC